UAAAUGCGCAGGGCGCGGGGCGCGGAGCCAUCGGAGGGACUGCGGUUCCAGCGCCGGAGCGGAGCAGACGGACAGGUGGGGACUAGCGAAACCGAAACACCUGCGUGCCCGCAGGAGACUCGAGGCCUGGAGGCCCAGAGCGCUGGCACACAGCACGGGGACUGGCGCAGCUGGCCCGGAGUUCUGGGCUCUGCCCUCCAGUUUCCAGCCCUGGGCAGGCAGAAUUCUGGGUCCGAAGUGGGGGUCCCUGAGCCCCCCUGCAGAGAUGGGGACCCCGAGGCCCCAGUUCGGCCCUGCCACAGGGAGGGAGUCGCCCUGCCCAGCGGUUCUGGACAGUCACUGAAGGUCGGGUUCCCAAGCCCUCCUUUUUUAAAAAAAAAAAAAAUAUUUAUUUUUUAGUUUUCGGCGGACACAACAUCUUUGUUGGUAUGUGGUGCUGAGGAUCGAACCUGGGCCGCGCGCAUGCCAGGCGAGCGCGCUACCGCUUGAGCCACAUCCCCGGCCGCCCCAAGCCCUCCUUGCGGGAGGUGUCAGCAGCAGAGCAGGCCUAGACCCACGGGCACCAGGCCAUCAGGCUGAUGCAUUGAAGCGGAGCUGGCUCCUACAUCUGCUGGGGGGAGACAGGUGGGGCUGACUCACCGAAAGGCCAACUGCUGUCUAGGUUUAGCUAUCCAGGGAUGGUCACUCUGGUGAUACCAGGCAGAGGCAGGAAGGGCCUUGCCUCCCCACCUCCACCUGUCCAUCAUGCCCAGCUCCUAUCAGGGCCGUUGAUUUCUGUCUGUCUUGACAGGGUGCAGACGGGCGGUGACCUCCCAUCAGCCCCACAAUAGGGAAAAGGCCAGACUCUCUGCCUCCACGUGUGGGCUGAGUCCUUCUUCUGUUCUGACCUGGCUCAAGGGGACACCCUGGUCUUGGGCUGGAGUGGGGGGUCCUACUCUUCAGUGUGAGACAGAUGGUGGCCCUUCUUAGGAACCGCCCUUCCCUCCCCUGGCUGCUGGGUUGCCUGGGGGGGGGGGAUUUGCUCCACCUCCACCACCUCUCCCCCCACCUUCCCUGCCCCAAAGACCACUGGCUUUUUCGCCUCCUACACAGCUUGCUCCUACUGGUGCCCUACUCUGGAAGGCUGGCAUUUUGCUUUCCCAGCGCUGGGCUUGACUGGGCCUCCUCCCAGGACCCCUGGGGCGCCCUAGUCUGUCUCUCUCCCGCCUUCCAGACUCUCUGCUCUGCCCCUCCCAGGCACCCACUCUGUGCCUUCCUCCUGGAAAGGGCAGGGCUUUGGAGACUCAUACCAGACCCAAGGUCACCCACAAGCCAGCAGGGAGUGGCCCAACCAGCCACAGCACAGUGCGCACACUGAGCGGGCUCACAGCCUCCCUGCCCAGCCCAUUCUAGCAGCUCCUCCUCUCUUCAGGAAACGUGGGCCUCUCUGGGCUUCUGUCAGCUCUUUCUGGUUUCUGUCCAGGUGCAGCCUUCUGGUCUGGCUGUCUGGGUCCAGGACAAGGGCUAACCAAGUCCAGGCCACCUUACCACCCCUGCCCGUGCUGUGGCCCCAACCCCUGGGCUCCACCUUGGGGUGGAGAACUGCUUCUUCUGUAUCCCAGCCAGGAGUCAGGGGACAGGUACAUGGCCCUAACCCCAUGACCCUCUCCUCUGUGCUCUGCCCUGCCCUGGGCUGGGCUGGACAGGCCCAGUGUGGCAGCCUAUGCAGGUAGCAGUCUGAGACAGAGGUCUUGAGGGAGGCAGGGAAGGAGAGGGCUGGCAGAGGGAGAGGCUGGCCUGCUGUGCUGUCCCACAGGCACGGGCUGCAGAGAGGGCGUGGGCCACUGCUGCUCCCAGGCCUUGGCUCCUGGCUGUGGUGCCGCGGGAAACCCACAGCUUAGAGCACAGUCCUGCCUCCUUGGGAUGGCACGAGCCACAGGGCCACUGGGAGCUGGCGUCCCAGCUGUGCUUCAGCAGCUGUCCUGCCACCACUGCAAGGCAGCGCUCCUGACUGGGCCACUGCCAGGUGCCCAGGGCCCUGUGACCAGUUCCACUGCCCUCUUCUUGGCCUUCCCUACAGGACAGCUCAUCCUUCAAGGCCAAAGAACUCCUGAGUGUGUCCCCCCAAAGGACAUGUAGAAACCAGGGACGUACCACAGAGUGGUUCCAUUGCCCGCCUGAGCCAACAGAUGUCCACUACACAGAGAGCCCAGUGACUCUCUGCCCCUGAGAUGUGGCAUCCUAUAGGGCCAAAGUCACUCUCCAGAGCAGUCCCGAAGUGAGCAGCUGGGCUCCCUGCAGGAGGGCUGGGCUGUUCUUGCAGGUUCUUCCUCCUGGGCCUGCCCAGCUCCGCCCAGGGGUCUGCUUCAGGCUGGGGGCCCAGAGCUACUUGGUCCCCAAGCACCGACUCCUGCCUGUCCUUCACAAGGGCUUGUGCCCCCCCCCCUGCCCUCUGCCUCCUCUGCUGAUACAGCAUCCAGGCUGGGGCUGCCCCUCCCCAGGCUUCCCCUGGUGAGCAUAGCACUAGGGGCUCUGUGCCUGGGGGUCACUUCCUUCCCGAUAGCACCUCAGGGCCCUGCGGUCAGUCAGCGUGGAGCCCUUGCUGCCCACGCCUGCCCUGCCUCGCUCUGGGGGGUGGUGCCUUCUGUAGGCUCUAGAAGUUGUCCCAGCAGCAGGUUCACAUGGUCCAGGGGCCUUCUGUCCCAAAUCCUGGGAGAGCCCUUCUCUAAGCCCUGUAGCCCCUCUGGGGGCCCUGGCUUCUCAGCCCGUGCUGGGCUGCCGUGAGCGGGAGGCUAGGAGGAAAGUGCUGGCCCCUAGGAUGCACAUUUUGGGGAAUCUGGGGAUUUGAUAUUUGGGGUUAAAUUGACCCAGAUGUCCCAUUCCAAGAGUUGGGUUCUCCCCUUGGUGAGAGGACUUGGCCCCUCCCAGUGGAGCUGCCUGGGCCUGCUCUGCCCUAGGAACCCCACGGCAGUCCAGCAGGCUAGCCCAGCCUCCUGGGAUCUUUGCCCAGAGCUCCGUUGCUUGGCUGCAGCCCCCACUCCACUGGCCUGUGUCCUCCACACCCUCUCUCCUGCCCUACAUAAGUGCGCCCCCAGGAGAGCCUAAGGCUGGGCUGCUUUCUCCCCCCUGGGCUCCACUGGACCCUCCGGCCAGGCGGUGGCAGACACAGAUGGCCUCACCGAGGGGUCGGCCUGGUCCUGGCAUCAAUGUCUAAGGUUCUGAGCAGAACACCCCAGAGGACUCAGGAGCAGCAUCUGUGGGAGGGAAGGGAGGAGUAGGACUUGGCCAAGGUGGUGGACUGGGGGCAGUCUCACUAGAAGACUUGAUGGCUCUCAGGGUCAUCAAGGGGCUGAGCCCAUCAUUGGCUGCCCCAGUAAGGAAGUGACCUCAGGCAGUGCAAUUCUUGAAGGGGCUAGUAGUGGCUGUCUUCCCAAAGCCCUCCCUGUGCUGGGCAGCAUCUGUCCACCCAACAGGUCAUGUGACACCAAAGCCCUAGCUUAUGGACAGGAUGGAUUCUGCAUUGGUGUCUGUCCCCUCGGGCUCACCUGCCCACCCCACACAUUCCCAGAAUGAUGUGGGUGUUUGGAGGGUAGGGGGGCUGUGAAGGCGACUGAGGACAGUGAGGGAGAGCUCCGGAGACACAGGAGCAGGGAGGUAGGCCUCCAGGGGAUGGAGGAGCCAUGGGGUGCUGCCGCAGAGCCUGGAGGACACAGGUGGGCAGCAGGCAUGAGGUGGGCAGCAGGCAUGUGGUGGGCAGCAGGCAUGAGGUGGGCCAGCAUGGAGCAGUGCCUCCUAUAGGACCAGCUAUAGGGAGGACCAAGACCACUAAGUGACAGUGUGCAGGGUGGAUGGACAUGUGCAUCUGGACUCCAGGGCAGGCAGGACCAAGCUGCAGCUCUUAGGAUCUGAGGGCAGGUUGAGCAGCUCUCUGAUUUCAUGGGUACAAGGAGAUGGAGCAGAAUCCAUCACUACGGGGGUGGGGGGGGGCAGAGUCCCUGUGUACCUGUCAGGUCCAAAGUACCUGUUGAGAUUGGCAGUGGAAUGCAUGCUGUCAGCAAGGGCUGUGCCCUGGGUGUGAGGGCAGGCAGAGGUGCCUUCCCCCAGACAUGUGCAGAGGGAGGCAAGGCCCGUGGAUGGCCUGGAUGUCCCUCUGAGCAGAGGGACACUUUCCUCUGCCAAGGGUGUGGACCAAGAGAGGGACUAGGCAUGGUUCUGAGGACACAGAAGCUGGCCUGGCUCAUGGAGGUGGGGAACGAAGGUGUGGGCCAUGGUGUGGGCCCACCAGCAGACGGUGACACAGACUGGGACCCUAGGUCAGGCUGUGGGCAGGGCUGUGUCCCUCCACAGGCUCUAGGGGAAGACCCUUUCUGCCUCUCCCAGCUCCUGGUGGCUCCAGACUCUCACAGUGCAGACUGUGGUGUUUGUUCUUUUAAGGACACCAGGUAUUCGGGAUGGGGGCCAGCCCUUUUCCAGUGUGAUCUCAUCUUAAAUUACCUCAUAGAGAUCCUGUUUCCAAAUAAGGUCACAUUCACAGGUAUGUGGCUUAGGAUUUUGACAUAUCUUUCCGGGUGAUCAAUUCAACGCAGCUUAGAAAGGGACAGGUCCAGGCAGAGGUAGUUGGUACAGUCCUGGGGCCUGGAGCCAGAUGACCCAGCCCAGCAGGGGUGAAGGACCGGCAUGUGUCUGUUGGAUCCAGGGACCUUGGAGCAGGGGGUAGGUGCAGCAGAGCCAUAGCAGAGUUAGGGUCUGGGAGGGCUCCAAGCUCCCCACCCUGGGCCUAGAGCUGUGGUGGACACCAAGGGACAACCCGCAGGAGAAAACAGAGCCCUCAGACCCUGGGAGGUGGCCUGGUAGCCAAACCCUGGUCCAUGCCUUUACAGUCCACUGCUCUUCUUAGCAUGCUGGGAAGCUUCUUCCGCUCUGCCUUGGGGAUCCUGCAGGGUAAGGGAGGGCCCUUCCCCUAUGGUGACUGCGAAUGCUCACACCCCAAGAGAGUGAGCUGCACCCGGGCCCUCUGCUACCAAGAUGAGGCUGCCCGGGGCUGCUCCAGCCAUGUCUCUGGAGGUAGAUCCAGGGCUCACCAGCUUGGGAAGGGUCUGGGAUUGACCUUAUGACCUUGCCUCCCCUGCCUGCCCAGAGGCUCAUCUCUGACUGUAUCUUUCUGUGACCGCAGGACACGUGUGACCUCAACUGGGUUCUGCAAGACCAGCUGUUUGCAAUGAAUGGCCAGGUCACUCCUCCUCUUGAUACCCUGUUCACCAACGGUGCUGAGCAGGCCUUCAUCCCCAAAAACAUGGAGGCUGGGCUGGGAGCCAGUGCCCCCUCCAAGCCCCAGGCAGAGGCAGCCGCACCCUCCAGAGCCAGGAGCAUUGCGGGGGUGCGUGUGGAGGCCUCGGGGCAGACGCUGAGUGUCUACGCUGCCAUGAAGCGGAGCCUGCUGCCCGCAGGGCUGGGGUUGGCUCUGCUGGAGGCCCAAGCAGCCACUGGGGGCCUGGUGGACCCCGCCCAGGGCCAGCUGCUGCCCGUGUCUGAGGCCCUGCGGCAGGGCCUGGUAGGGCUGGAGCUGAAGGAAAAGCUGCUGGCUGCUGAGCGCGCGGUCACUGGCUAUCCUGACCCCUAUGGGGGUGAGAAGCUGGCCCUCUUCCAGGCCCUCAGGAAGGAAGUUGUCAACAGGACCCUGGGAUGCCGCUGGCUGGAGGCCCAGCUGGCCACUGGGGGCCUGGUGGACCCCGUCCAGGGCAUGCGAGUUGCCCCAGCACUAGCCUGCCAGAAGGGCCUCCUGGACCAGGAGACGUGGCUCAGUCUGGAUGAGCAGGAGCCCAGCAUGGACACUCCAGGUUUCCUUGACCCCAACACACUGGAGCCGCUGCCGUACUCCGCCCUUCUGGGCCGGUGUGUGCAGGACCCUGGCUCAGGGCUGGCCCUGCUGCCACUCAAGACCACCUUCCAUACCCUGUGUGGGGCGGCCAGUGUGGCUGAGCUGCAGGAGGCAGGGGUCCUGGAUGAAGAGACAGUCCAAGGCCUGCAGGAGGGCACACUGACAGAGCCAGGUGUGAGUGCUCGCCCUGAGGUGAGGCGCCACCUGGAGGGCACUGGCGGUGUGGCAGGGGUCGUCCUGCUGCCCGAAGGCCACAAGAAGGGCUUCUUCCAGGCUGCAGCCGAGCACCUGGUCCCA
rnacentral:lncRNA from 1 species